rnacentral:rRNA from 1 species
UACGGGGGGAGCAAGCGUUGUUCGGAUUCAUUGGGCGUAAAGGGCUCGUAGGUGGCUUUGUAAGUCGGAGGUGAAAUCCCACGGCUCAACCGUGGACACGCCUUCGAAACUGUGAAGCUUGAGGCUGGGAGAGGAGAUCGGAAUUCCUGGUGUAGCGGUGAAAUGCGUAGAUAUCUGAAGGAACACCAGUGGCGAAGGCGGCUUUCUGGCCUAUUCUUGACGCUGAGGCGCGAAAGCUAGGGGAGCGAACGGG